CUCCCACCAACCCAUCGGAUCUUCUGCUGCAUCUGUUACUAUUGGCACAUCUCCUUGACUACUGUCCUCACGUUCAGAAUUGAGGCUUCCUGUGCUCAGAAGAAUCUCUUAUUUGAACAAGAGGAAAAAAGAAAGUGCC